rnacentral:rRNA from 1 species
AGCGAACGCUGGCGGCAGGCCUAAUACAUGCAAGUCGAACGGCUCUUCGGAGCAGUGGCGGACGGGUGAGUAACGCGUGGGAACGUGCCCUUUGGUUCGGAACAACACAGGGAAACUUGUGCUAAUACCGGAUGUGCCCUUCGGGGGAAAGAUUUAUCGCCAUUGGAGCGGCCCGCGUUGGAUUAGGUAGUUGGUGGGGUAAAGGCCUACCAAGCCUACGAUCCAUAGCUGGUCUGAGAGGAUGAUCAGCCACACUGGGACUGAGACACGGCCCAGACUCCUACGGGAGGCAGCAGUAGGGAAUCUUGCGCAAUGGGCGAAAGCCUGACGCAGCCAUGCCGCGUGAAUGAUGAAGGUCUUAGGAUUGUAAAAUUCUUUCACCGGGGAAGAUAAUGACGGUACCCGGAGAAGAAGCUCCGGCUAACUCCGUGCCAGCCGCCGCUGUAACAC